rnacentral:rRNA from 1 species
GACGAACGCUGGCGGCGUGCUUAACACAUGCAAGUCGAACGGAAAGGCCCUGCUUUUGUGGGGUGCUCGAGUGGCGAACGGGUGAGUAACACGUGAGUAACCUGCCCUUGACUUUGGGAUAACUUCAGGAAACUGGGGCUAAUACCGGAUAGGAGCUCCUGCUGCAUGGUGGGGGUUGGAAAGUUUCGGCGGUUGGGGAUGGACUCGCGGCUUAUCAGCUUGUUGGUGGGGUAGUGGCUUACCAAGGCUUUGACGGGUAGCCGGCCUGAGAGGGUGACCGGCCACAUUGGGACUGAGAUACGGCCCAGACUCCUACGGGAGGCAGCAGUGGGGAAUAUUGCACAAUGGGCGGAAGCCUGAUGCAGCAACGCCGUGUGCGGGAGGACGGCCUUCGGGCUGUAAACCGCUUUCGCUCAUGACGAAGCUUUGUGUGACGGUAGUGGGUAAAGAAGCACCGGCUAACUACGUG